rnacentral:rRNA from 1 species
UACGAAGGGGGCUAGCGUUGCUCGGAAUUACUGGGCGUAAAGCGCACGUAGGCGGCUUUCUAAGUCGGGGGUGAAAUCCUGGAGCUCAACUCCAGAACUGCCUUCGAUACUGGAGCUCGAGUCCGGGAGAGGUGAGUGGAACUGCGAGUGUAGAGGUGAAUUCGUAGAUAUUCGCAAGAACACCAGUGGCGAAGGCGGCUCACUGGCCCGGUACUGACGCUGAGGUGCGAAAGCGUGGGGAGCAAACAGG